CUCUAUAUAAAAUCACAAGGACAUUAAUGUCAAGUCUUUGUGCUAUGUCUCUGGGAUGAGAAAUAAUUCCUUACAUGCGCUCAAAAUGUUUUAUACAAAGAUAUAAAACGGUAAUCUAUAUGUAAUGGAUCAGCACUAUUGAAAUUUCCAACACGGUUUCCGAGACGUAAUUCAAGAUUAACUUAUCAUUGCAUUUGAACUAUUACAUCAGUUGGUGUUAUACUGUGCGAUAAGUGAAUAUUAUUGGAAAGAGGGCUGCUAUAUACGUUGAAAUCAUCAAAUAAACAGCUCAUGCACACAUUUCUGCACUUUGUGGUAAGUUUACAGAGCAUAUUUUAUACUUUGGGACUGAUCUUUGUCUUUGAUGUGAACAUUUAUUCUCAUAGUUUAAGGUUAUUUAAGAUUGAUCCUGUCCUAAGUCUUCUAGCAGCAACCAUUCGACAAUAUUGCAUUUUAGCGCUGUCUUUGCCGUUACGUUGCCUUCGCGUUACUUUUGUUUUAAAUAACUUGAUCGCGUUAAAAGAGUUAUUUUCAGGCCUGUGACAUAGCUAAAAGACUUUGCAUUAAUGUCCUUGUGAUUUUAUAGAGAUAUUUCUAGAACUGAUGAUUUUAGAAAGCGUUAUCUGUAUCUUCUC